ensembl:lncRNA
CCUCUGUCUGUCCGCCCAGCACGCCUUCACCUCCAGCCCGGUGAUGAACAGUGAGGUAAUGGGCUGUGUUUGGAAGUGUUGAGUGUGCCUAGUAUAUAAUAGUGAAUAGUAUAUAAGUGCUGUUUAAGUCUGGUGAGUAUCGUGUGCUUUGUGUCGCCGACAUAUAUGAUGUGGCAUUGGGAGCAUGUGAUGGCGUAGAUGAUGUUGUUGUCCAGUAUGGUGAGUUUUUGCGGAAUAGGGCUGGAGGUGGAGGCGUGCUGGUUCCUGAUGACCGCCAGCUGCUGAAAGUGGCUUUGGUGUGGAGAGGGGGGGCUUCUAAUAUCUGUGGAGAAGCGGCCCGCACCAGGACAUCCUGGAGGUCCCAGGACUUUCCUGGGUCACCUCAGGGAAGCUGUUGGGGAAGACCACCUGACUCAGCUGCUGCAGAGGACUCUCUCCCACAGUGGGAGAUGAUGGACCGCCCCGGCGACACUAAGAAAGGGACCGUCCAGGACUUGGGGAGGGUCUGGACCGCCUAGAUAUACUUUCUGUCUAUGUGUGAUGUAUAUACGUUGAUGGGGGUCACUCAAUAUAUUGGGAAUUUGUUGUUCCCUGACCAAUUGGAGUGGAUCCUGUAUGGGUCUGUAAUGUAGUGUGUUCCCUAACUGUCUGUGUGCUUCUAAGAGGUAUUGUUGUGUAUCUAAGAUGACUGUCUGGAGCCUUUGUCAGCGGGUUUGAUAACUAUGUGUUUGUAAUUAGACAGGUGUCUAAGUGCUGUGUAUUCUUGUUCAGUAGGGUUGGGUGUUUCUAAAGUGUUGUUGGGUGGUUAUGCAUGGCGGUGUGUUUAUUGGUACGGAGGAGUGGGGUGAGGUUCUCCCACAAGGCGCCCGGCGGUGGUCCCCAGCUGGACGGCCCCUGAAGCGGUGGAAUGGGCCCACCGGGUCGGCCAUGGAAGGGUUCUGUUCACUUAAGUGACCGGUUGUAAUGGUGGACAUCUCUAAGGAAUUCUAGUUUAUCUGCGAUACGGGGGGUGGGGAUGAAAACUGAGGCCCUUCUCCAGCAGCUGAGUCUCCGUUUCUGACCGAUGGAAGACGGUGGAUAGAUUUACAGUAUUAGUCUAAAUGGAGCUAGAUGACGUAUGGGCACGGACCCGUGAAAACAAGGCACGUAAAACGCCAAAAAAACGCCCCUGGGCCGACGGACGCGUUCCGCACGCAGCACACGACGUGAUGAAGCAGACUCGGAGAACGCGGUAAAAGCAGCGACCUCGUCAGAAGAGACUCACGUCCAGGCCCAGCGGGAGGGCCAGCUCCGGAGUCCUGGUCCCCAAGGUGUAGUGGCUGGGUCGGCGAGGCUCCGGGCCCCCCACCGGGGGUCCAUAGGGGCUGGGGUCAGGUCUGUAGCAGGGCCGGCGGCAGCCAGGGGCAAGGGUGGGCUUAGCCCACCCAAAUGUGCGCCAUGCCCACCCAAUCAAAAUAGAAGAAAAUGAAUGAAAAAAUGUUGGUGGAAGUCCA